UACGAAGGGGGGCUAGCGUUGUUCGGAAUUACUGGGCGUAAAGGGCGCGUAGGCGGUGCCUCAAGUCAGGCGUGAAAGCCCCGGGCUCAACCUGGGAACCGCGCUUGAGACUGGCACGCUCGAGUUCGGGAGAGGAUGGUGGAAUUCCCAGUGUAGAGGUGAAAUUCGUAGAUAUUGGGAAGAACACCGAUGGCGAAGGCAGCCAUCUGGACCGACACUGACGCUGAGGCGCGAAAGCGUGGGGAGCGAACAGG
rnacentral:rRNA from 1 species